ACGUACGCUGGCGGCGUGCCUAAUACAUGCCAGUUGAGCGCUGAAGGUUGGUACUUGUACCAACUGGAUGAGCAGCGAACGGGUGAGUAACGCGUGGGGAAUCUGCCUUUGAGCGGGGGACAACAUUUGGAAACGAAUGCUAAUACCGCAUAAAAACUUUAAACACAAGUUUUAAGUUUGAAAGAUGCAAUUGCAUCACUCAAAGAUGAUCCCGCGUUGUAUUAGCUAGUUGGUGAGGUAAAGGCUCACCAAGGCGAUGAUACAUAGCCGACCUGAGAGGGUGAUCGGCCACAUUGGGACUGAGACACGGCCCAAACUCCUACGGGAGGCAGCAGUAGGGAAUCUUCGGCAAUGGACGAAAGUCUGACCGAGCAACGCCGCGUGAGUGAAGAAGGUUUUCGGAUCGUAAAACUCGGUUGGUAGAGAAGAACGUUGGUGAGAGUGGAAAGCUCAUCAAGUGACGGUAACUACCCAGAAAGGGACGGCUAACUACGUG
rnacentral:rRNA from 1 species